rnacentral:rRNA from 1 species
UACGUAGGGUGCGAGCGUUAAUCGGAAUUACUGGGCGUAAAGCGUGCGCAGGCGGUUUUGUAAGCCAGGUGUGAAAUCCCCGGGCUCAACCUGGGAAUGGCAUUUGGGACUGCAAGGCUGGAGUGUGGCAGAGGAGACUGGAAUUCCUGGUGUAGCAGUGAAAUGCGUAGAUAUCGGGAGGAACACCAGUGGCGAAGGCGGUAGCUGGCCGUGUUAACUGACACUGAGCGCGAAGGCUAGGGGAGGCGAACG